UGAGAAUGUGACACCAGUGUCCGAGCAGGGC
rnacentral:piRNA from 1 species